rnacentral:rRNA from 1 species
UACGGAGGGGGAUAGCGUUGUUCGGAAUUACUGGGCGUAAAGCGUACGUAGGCGGCUUUGUAAGUUAGAGGUGAAAGCCCGGGGCUCAACCCCGGAAUUGCCUUUAAGACUGCAUCGCUUGAACGUCGGAGAGGUGAGUGGAAUUCCGAGUGUAGAGGUGAAAUUCGUAGAUAUUCGGAAGAACACCAGUGGCGAAGGCGGCUCACUGGACGACUGUUGACGCUGAGGUGCGAAAGCGUGGGUAGCGAACGGG